rfam:Streptomyces sp. Tu6071 chromosome, whole genome shotgun sequence.
ACACUGCCCGCAGCGACUGGUUCGCCCCGUCCGCCAGGCGGGAGCGUCGCAAGAGGGAACCCGGUGGGAAUCCGGGACUGCCCCGCAGCGGUGAGCGGGAACGACCGCCGUCAUACGCACUGGGCCCGGGUACGGGUCUGGGAAGCGACGGCCAGUAGGUGUCCUCCGUCCGGAGGGCGUGCCCGCGAGUCCGAAGACCUGCCAGUCGCCCGGACGCGCU